AAGCCCGUCGAGAAACGUGCGGAAAUCAAUCGUGUGAACGCGUCGCACAAACGCGAUUAGUCAUAAUAAUAAUAGUGUAACGUCAGGACGAGUCGGGGUGUCGGCGGCUUCGAUAACGUUCCGAUUCGCGAUUGUGUGUAAUUAUAGGGUUCAUAACGCGUGCCGCGCAACGCUGUUUACGGGUCCGGCCGUGGCGCUUUUUCCAGCGCGGCGGCGAGGGGAGGUC